AUCAAAGGAGAAGUGCAGAAAAAUGAGCUUUGUGGCCUGUUGUCUGUUGUUUUCUGUAAGAAUAGGCAAUGCCCAUGGCAGGUGAGAGAGUUAUCAAGCAAAACCUUUUUAGUUAGGUUCCCUCCGUGGAAAAGUGCUGAUGACUUGAUUGAAUUUCCAGCCUUUGAUCUCCCUAAAGAUGGUGUGAAUGUAAAUGUGACUGAAUGGAAAGGGGCUUGUGAUCCUUUUGGAGAACUAGUUGAAGCUUGGGUCCUGAUUGAGGGUAUACCACCUAAAUGGUGUACUUGGAAGGUCUUUUGUCAGAUAGCCUCAAUGUUUGGGGUUCUUACUGAUGUAAACUGGAAUGGCAUGUUCAGGACUUUUUUUGAGAAUGUGAGAGUUAAGAUUGCUUGCAGGGAUCCAACCAAAAUUCCUUUUGAAAGGUUGAUAGAAAUGAAAAAGAAGAUGUUUCCUAUUGGAUUUACUGUGGAAGGGUUUGAACAAAAUGGU
rnacentral:rRNA from 1 species